rnacentral:rRNA from 1 species
AUGAGGGCUGCCGCUUGGGGGAGAGCCUGCGUCCCAUUAGCUUGUUGGUGAGGUAACGGCUCACCAAGGCUGCGAUGGGUAGCCGAGCUGAGAGGCUGAUCGGCCACACUGGAACUGAGACACGGUCCAGACUCCUACGGGAGGCAGCAGUGGGGAAUUUUGCGCAAUGGGGGAAACCCUGACGCAGCGACGCCGCGUGGGCGAUGAAGGCCUUCGGGUCGUAAAGCCCUGUCGAGCGGGACGAAAGUAUGAGCCCUAAUAUGGUUCAUGCCUGACGGUACCGCUGGAGGAAGCCCCGGCCAACUCCGUGCCAGCAGCCGCGGUAAUACGGAGGGGGCGAGCGUUAUUCGGAAUUAUUGGGCGUAAAGGGCGUGUAGGCGGUUGAUUAAGUCUGGGGUGAAAGCCCCGAGCUCAACUCGGGAACUGCAGGAGAAACUGCGAGGCUUGAGUGCGGGAGAGGGAAGCGGAAUUCCCAGUGUAGCGGUGAAAUGCGUAGAUACUGGGAGGAACACCGGUGGCGAAGGCGGCUUCCUGGCCGAGUACUGACGCUCAUACACGAAAGCGUGGGGAGCGAACGGGAUUAGAUACCCCGGUAGUCCACGCCGUUAAACGAUGGGUACUAGGUGUUGGAGGGGUUCAACCUUCAGUGCCGCAGUUAACGCACUAAGUACCCCGCCUGGGGAGUACGUUCGCAAGAAUGAAACUCAAAGGAAUUGACGGGGGCCCGCACAAGCGGUGGAGCAUGUGGUUUAAUUCGACGCAACGCGAAGAACCUUACCUGGGUUUGAACUGUGGUGGAAAGGGGCUGGGAAACCAGUUCCUCCUUCGGGACCGCCUCAGAGGUGCUGCAUGGCUGUCGUCAGCUCGUGUCGUGAGAUGUUGGGUUAAGUCCCGUAACGAGCGCAACCCUUACCCUUAGUUGCCAGCGGGUCGGCCGGGAACUCUAAGGGGACUGCCGGUGAUAAGCCGGAGGAAGGCGGGGAUGACGUCAAGUCCUCAUGGCCCUUAUGUCCAGGGCUACACACGUGCUACAAUGGUCGGUACAAAGGGUUGCGAGACCGCGAGGUUUAGCCAAUCCCAUAAAGCCGACCUCAGUUCGGAUUGGAGUCUGCAACUCGACUCCAUGAAGGUGGAAUCGCUAGUAAUCGCGGAUCAGCAUGCCGCGGUGAAUACGUUCCCGGGCCUUGUACACACCGCCCGUCACACCACGAAAGUUUGCUGCUCUUGAAGUCGCUGGGCUAACCCCGCAUGGAGGCAGCCGCCCACGCUGUGGUCGAUGAUUGGGGUGAAGUCGUAACAAGGUAA